AUCUUCACCGUGACACCCCGUCCGGUAUCAAAUCCGGCCUCUUUCAGCCAGUCGCCCUUAAGGUGCAGGCUGGGAUGUUGUGAAUAAUACCGGGCUAUACCGGUUUUGCGGUCCUGGUGGCGGGCUCUG
rnacentral:sRNA from 20 species